GACGAACGCUGGCGGCGUGCUUAACACAUGCAAGUCGAACGAAGAGCGAUGGAAGCUUGCUUCUAUCAAUCUUAGUGGCGAACGGGUGAGUAACGCGUAAUCAACCUGCCCUUCAGAGGGGGACAACAGUUGGAAACGACUGCUAAUACCGCAUACGAUCUAAUCUCGGCAUCGAGGAUGGAUGAAAGGUGGCCUCUAUGUAUAAGCUAUCACUGAAGGAGGGGAUUGCGUCUGAUUAGCUAGUUGGAGGGGUAACGGCCCACCAAGGCGAUGAUCAGUAGCCGGUCUGAGAGGAUGAACGGCCACAUUGGGACUGAGACACGGCCCAGACUCCUACGGGAGGCAGCAGUGGGGAAUCUUCCGCAAUGGACGAAAGUCUGACGGAGCAACGCCGCGUGAGUGAUGACGGCCUUCGGGUUGUAAAGCUCUGUUAAUCGGGACGAAAGGCCUUCUUGCGAAUAGUGAGAAGGAUUGACGGUACCGGAAUAGAAAGCCACGGCUAACUACGUGCCAGCAGCCGCGGUAAUACGUAGGUGGNCAGCGUUGUCCGGAAUUAUUGGGCGUAAAGCGCGCGCAGGCGGAUAGGUCAGUCUGUCUUAAAAGUUCGGGGC
rnacentral:rRNA from 1 species